rnacentral:rRNA from 1 species
UACGUAGGGUGCGAGCGUUAGUCGGAAUUACUGGGCGUAAAGCGUGCGCAGGCGGUGAUGUAAGACAGGUGUGAAAUCCCCGGGCUUAACCUGGGAACUGCAUUUGUGACUGCAUCGCUGGAGUGCGGCAGAGGGGGAUGGAAUUCCGCGUGUAGCAGUGAAAUGCGUAGAGAUGUGGAGGAACACCGAUGGCGAAGGCAGCCCCCUGGGCCGACACUGACGCUCAGGCACGAAAGCGUGGGGAGCAAACAGG